GUAAACUCUAACGUCUCUUUCAUCUCUAGAGUAGAUUCAGAACAUCCACUGGAGGGUAAACAUCUUCUCUAGUUUCCUGUCACCAGAUACUUAGGUGGCACAAAUGUCUGCAAGGCCAUUUUGUGUCCUUGAGCCCCUCUGGCUCAACACUGCCUGAAGCCCAUCUUCCAGGCCCUGAAUAAUUAAAGGCCAUAAGCUCAGAGUUGGUUUUGAUCAGUUUCUACCCAUGCAGGUUCAGGCAAGCGAAGGCAUGCCUGAGGCAGCAGUCGCUGUGGCUGCUCCCCGAUCUCAUCGAUCUCGUCGCCAGACCCUCAUCUGCUAUCGUCCCGAAGCCUGAGACUAGGCCUCCUAUCUCGGAAGCUCCUCUGGCUCCUUCACACCACCAUCUGCUUACUAAUCUCCACAGACAGCUUGAUUUCUCAUCUGCUUAAGCAACUAGUUUUUUCUCUUCUCUUUACACUUAGUUCCUAAACUCCCACCCUUGUAAAAAGCAAUUUUAUGUUUAAAAUGUCUUAUCUCACUAUAUUAUAAUAUAUUAAAUUAAUAAAAUCGGAUUUUAAANNN
ensembl:processed_transcript Gm20627 predicted gene 20627